rnacentral:misc_RNA from 1 species
CGAAUGGGUCCAAAGACUCUUAAAACCUACCGUGCUCCCCUAUGUGGAAAACAGGAAAGCCCUCCGGGGCAUAGGAAAUCUGAGAAGUUGAGAACUGCGCCCCGGCGCAUGACUAAAACAAAAAAUUA